rnacentral:rRNA from 1 species
AACGAACGCUGGCGGCAUGCCUAACACAUGCAAGUCGAACGAGACCUUCGGGUCUAGUGGCGCACGGGUGCGUAACGCGUGGGAACCUGCCCUUAGGUUCGGAAUAACUCCCCGAAAGGGGUGCUAAUACCGGAUAAUGUCUUCGGACCAAAGAUUUAUCGCCCUUGGAUGGGCCCGCGUUGGAUUAGCUAGUUGGUAGGGUAAAAGCCUACCAAGGCGACGAUCCAUAGCUGGUCUGAGAGGAUGAUCAGCCACACUGGGACUGAGACACGGCCCAGACUCCUACGGGAGGCAGCAGUGGGGAAUAUUGGACAAUGGGCGAAAGCCUGAUCCAGCAAUGCCGCGUGAGUGAUGAAGGCCUUAGGGUUGUAAAGCUCUUUUACCCGGGAUGAUAAUGACAGUACCGGGAGAAUAAGCUCCGGCCAACUCCGUG